UACGUAGGGGGCAAGCGUUGUCCGGAAUUACUGGGCGUAAAGAGCUCGUAGGUGGUUUGUCGCGUUGUUCGUGAAAACUCACAGCUCAACUGUGGGCGUGCGGGCGAUACGGGCAGACUUGAGUACUGCAGGGGAGACUGGAAUUCCUGGUGUAGCGGUGAAAUGCGCAGAUAUCAGGAGGAACACCGGUGGCGAAGGCGGGUCUCUGGGCAGUAACUGACGCUGAGGAGCGAAAGCGUGGGGAGCGAACAGG
rnacentral:rRNA from 1 species